GAGGAGCAAGUUUCUUCCCAAAAUGCCAUAAGGACACAAACAUGUCCUUAGGGUUUCUACAACAAUACACAAUCUUACAAGACGAGCUCUUAACAGACUCGGGCAAGGAAAGAUGUGGUAUGUGUGUGUUCAUGAGUCUUGGAGAAGGUAACUUGGAGAAAUCAAAAUCUGGAGACUCAUAGUAAACUCCUUCCAAGAAAGGCACGAGUAGAUGCGGAUUGGUAACAAGAAGAGGAUGAUUACCAGAAGUAGAAGAAACUACUGGAAACUUGUGUCGGUUAAUGAGAGCAAAGACAAGAGCUUUUAACCAAGUGGUACCCGAUUUAGGAUUGGUGACGAGGAUAAUGUCGGAAUCGUUAGCCUCAAAGUGUUUUUGGCACUCCAAGAGUCCUUGUAAGAGAGCUUGUGUGUGCCAACGUCCUUGAAACUGAUACAUUUGACUCACUAACCAACCUUUCUCGCUUGGAAGAGAAGAGAUCAGAUCUCUUGUUUCUUGUGUCAGAUCUUCAUCUCCCAAGUAAUCAGGAACAGCUGAUGAUGAUGAAGACAUUGUUAAAAUUAUUGAUCAAUCUUGAAAAAUGUUAUAAACUAUGAGCUGUUUUUUGCAUCUAUGAGUGUGAUACUUCUGUACUUUUUAUAAGAAAAAUGUUGUGUUGAAUGAGAUGUUUGCUCAACAAGUAAAUAGCGCAGUACUUAGAUCCUUUUGGUCCUAAUCUCUGAUGUAAUAGUCAGCAUAUCUUGCUACUUGCAGAGCACGUAGAAUAAUAUCUAAAGAAGAGAAAGAGAAUCACUACUCUUGUAUAAAAGUCAAAGAUAAGCGCCACAAUAUUUUAGGCCGAUGUCUUUUCUUGUUUGUUGCUUUGUCGGAAAACUUGUGAUGGGCCAAAAGCUCAUGGACUAUGAAAGAUCAAAUCAAAACAAAAAAUAAAUAUAUAGAGGACUAAAAACAGGUCGGGCCAGUUAGGUCCAUCAUCUAUGACAAGAUCACAAUUCACAACACAAUCCUAAAGAAAAAAAAAGGAUUAUUGAAUAGGAAAAAACAAGUUUAAUUAAGCAGAAUCUUAACAAAAGAAUCUAAAAGAAGAACCAAUUAGUUUCUCUUUACUAGGGGUCUUAUCUAUCUCCCCCGCUAGUUAAGGAGUCCCUUCAGAGUAUCUCUUCAUCCACCAGUCUCUCCUCUCCUAAUGCCUUAAUCUCCAUACAAUUCACUAACUUCCAACUUACUCAGAUUCACAAGAGUACACAACCUUACGAACAAAAGGAAGAAAGGCCAAACUCUUUUACUAGAAAAAAGAAACCAAUUGUUGUAUAUUUCUAUAGACAUUUUAGUUCCAAGUGUAAUCUACUUGCGAUAAAGAAAAGGUCUACAACAAUACACAAUCUUACAAGACGAGCUCUUAACAGACUCGGGCAAGGAAAGAUGUGGUAUGUGUGUGUUCAUGAGUCUUGGAGAAGGUAACUUGGAGAAAUCAAAAUCUGGAGACUCAUAGUAAACUCCUUCCAAGAAAGGCACGAGUAGAUGCGGAUUGGUAACAAGAAGAGGAUGAUUACCAGAAGUAGAAGAAACUACUGGAAACUUGUGUCGGUUAAUGAGA
rnacentral:lncRNA from 1 species